rnacentral:misc_RNA from 1 species
GCAUCUUCUGCGGUUCAUCAAGUCGAAACUGAGAAAAGAACCUGAUGAGGUAGUCAUAUUUCGGGAUGGACAAUAUCUUACACUGAAGGAAGUCUUUGAGAGUUUGGACUUGACAGGGUAUGAUAUGAAUGUUGAUCUAUUGGACGUACAUGCUGAUAAGAGUACAUUUCACCGGUUUGACAAAUUCAAUCUCAAAUAUAAUCCAUGCGGACAAAGCAGACUCAGAGAAAUCUUUUUAAAGCAAGACAACCUUAUCCAAGGACGCUUCUUG